rnacentral:sRNA from 1 species
AAAAGAAGAGGUUUUGAAUGUUUUGUAGAUUUUGUAAGAGUUUUUGGUUUUUGUUUUUUAAAAACUUAUUUUUAUACCAAUUAAGAUUUUAAAAUUUUGGUUUCCCUACAAUUUAGUAAAUUUAUUUUAUUGUAGUUUUCCAUUCAUGAUUUUAGUUUUUUAGUUUUCCUAAAAUUUAGGAAAUCUAGUUUUUAUUCAAUCAACGUUAUUUUUCUCAAAAACCAAAAACCGAUUUUUU